rnacentral:rRNA from 1 species
AAGACCUCAAAUCAGGUGGGACUACCCACUGAACUUAAGCAUAUCAAUAAGUGGAGGAAAAGAAACUAACAAGGAUUCCCCUAGUAAUGGCGAAUGAAGAGGGAAGAGCCCAAAUUUGUAAUCAAGCUUUCUUGAGGAAGUUUGAGUUGUAAUUUUAAGAACUGUUUUCAGUGCUAGACCAUUCAUAAGUUUGUUGGAAAACAACAUCAAUGAGGGUGAUAAUCCCGUUCAUGGUAUGGACUACUAGUGCAAUAUGAUACAGUCUCUAAGAGUCGAGUUGUUUGGGAAUGCAGCUCAAAGUGGGUGGUAAAUUCCAUCUAAGGCUAAAUAUUGAUGAGAGACCGAUAGCAAACAAGUACCGUGAGGGAAAGAUGAAAAGAACUUUGGAAAGAGAGUUAACAGUAUGUGAAAUUGCUAAAAGGGAAACACUUGAAGUUAGACUUGCUAUUGCCAGUUCAAACCCUUUUUCUAGGGGAGUAUUCUGGUUUUUAUCUUUAGCAGAUCAACAUCAAUUCUUUUGGGUGCUGGAUAAGGGUUAUAGAAAUGUGGCAGUUUUUUAGCUGUGUUUAUAGUCUAUAACUUUGAUAUGGUGCCUAGGAUUGAGGUAUGCAGUGAGCCUUUUAUUUUUAAGGGGUGGGUCUAUAUUAUAGAUCUUCUUACUGAGGAUGUUGAUGUAAUAGCUUUAAAUGACCCGUCUUGAAACACGGACCAAGGAGUCUAACAUGCUUGCGAGUAUUUGGGUGAUAGAAACCCUUGUGCGUAAUGAAAGUAAAUGUAAAUGGGAUCUGUUAAAGGUGCACCAUUGACCAGUCCUAAUUAUUUAUAUGACGGUACUGAGUAAGAGCAAGUAUGUUGGGACCCGAAAGAUGGUGAACUAUGCCUGAAUAGGGUGAAGCCAGAGGAAACUCUGGUGGAAGCUCGUAGCG